rnacentral:pre_miRNA from 1 species
UUUAAUUUUAGCGGUGGAUGUGUGCAAUUCUAGUGCAUGUUUAUAUGACAUUCAUGACUAGAUUUUCACUCAUCUAUCGAAGAAAUUA